rnacentral:rRNA from 1 species
UCCCGCCUAUAUACCACCGUCGUCAGCUUACCCUGUGAAGGACUCAUAGUAAGCAAGAUUGGCAUAGCCCAAAACGUCAGGUCGAGGUGUAGCGUAUGGAAAGGGAAGAAAUGGGCUACAUUCCCUAACACAGGGAACUACGAAUGAUACACUGAAACAUGUAUCUGAAGGAGGAUUUAGCAGUAAGCAGAAAAAAGAGCGUUCCGCUGAAACCGGCCCUGAAGCGCGCACACACCGCCCGUCACUCUCCCCGAGCUCAUCAACCCCAAAUACUUAAGACCUAAAAACUGCAAAGGGGAGGCAAGUCGUAACAUGGUAAGUGUACCGGAAGGUGCACUUGGAAAAAU